rnacentral:rRNA from 1 species
GGGAAGAGCCCAGCGCUGAAUCUCUCGGUCUUAGGCCGCUGAGAACUGUAGCGUAUAGGUGUGACUGUCCUGCUAUAUUGCAUUUCCGAAGUCUCUUUGAUAGGGGCCAACAUCCAGAGAGGGUGCGAGACCUGUACGGAAAGUAGUAUAGUUGGUAUGGUUACUCCUUGGAGUCGGGUUGCUUGAAAGUGCAGCCUAAAGUUGGUGAUAAACUUCAUCUAAGGCUAAAUAUCGACGCGAAAUCGAUAGCAAACAAGUACCGUGAGGGAAAGUUGCAAAGAACUUUGAAGAGAGAGUUCAAGAGAACGUGAAAUCGCUGAAGUGGAACCGGAGAGAGUUAACAUAACUUGGUAGCUAUAUCCUCUAAAGUCGCUUAACUGUGGCUCUGGGGGGUGGACGCUACCUGUUGUUGCACUGACUGCGUUGAUUGUGCUUUCCGAACAGUAUAGUGUUGCCCACUUUGUGGUGUCUUGCUUUCUGGGAGGUUUGUCAUAAUUAACGUAAAGCCAAUUCCCUUUGGAGUCAGUGUGAAAGUUAACCACCUUUCCGACCCGUCUUGAAACACGGACCGAGGAGUGUAAUUUAUACGCGAGUCAAGGGGUGGUGAAAACCCUAGGGGCGGAAUGAAAGUAAAGGCCGGUUAACCGGUUGACAUGGGAUCCGCUCUUCGGAGCGGCGCACCAUGGCCCUGUCUUGUCUGCUUGCAGAUGGGCAGCGGUAGAGCGUAUAGUUUGCGACCCGAAAGAUGGUGAACUAUGCUUGAGCAGGACGAAGCCAGAGGAAAC